rnacentral:rRNA from 1 species
GACGAACGCUGGCGGCGUGCUUAACACAUGCAAGUCGAACGGAAAGGCCCUGCUUGCAGGGUACUCGAGUGGCGAACGGGUGAGUAACACGUGGGUGAUCUGCCCUGCACUUCGGGAUAAGCCUGGGAAACUGGGUCUAAUACCGGAUAGGAGCCAUUUUUAGUGUGAUGGUUGGAAAGUUUUUUCGGUGUAGGAUGAGCUCGCGGCCUAUCAGCUUGUUGGUGGGGUAAUGGCCUACCAAGGCGGCGACGGGUAGCCGGCCUGAGAGGGUGGACGGCCACAUUGGGACUGAGAUACGGCCCAGACACCUACGGGAGGCAGCAGUGGGGAAUGUUGCACAAUGGGCGCAAGCCUGAUGCAGCGACGCCGCGUGGGGGAUGACGGCCUUCGGGUUGUAAACUCCUUUCGCUAGGGACGAAGCUUUUUGUGACGGUACCUAGAUAAGAAGCACCGGCUAACUACGUG